AGCGGCAGGCUUAACACAUGCAAGUCGAGGGGCAGCGAGAGAUGUGCUUGCACAUUUUGUCGGCGACCGGCGCACGGGUGCGUAACGCGUAUGCAACCUACCCAUAACAGGGGGAUAACACUGAGAAAUUGGUACUAAUACCCCGUAAUAUUACUGAAGGCAUCUUUGGUAGUUAAAAGUUCCGGCGGUUAUGGAUGGGCAUGCGUUGUAUUAGCUAGUUGGUGGGGUAACGGCUCACCAAGGCGACGAUACAUAGGGGGACUGAAAGGUUAACCCCCCACAUUGGUACUGAGACACGGACCAAACUCCUACGGGAGGCAGCAGUGAGGAAUAUUGGUCAAUGGACGCAAGUCUGAACCAGCCAUGCCGCGUGCAGGAAGACGGCUCUAUGAGUUGUAAACUGCUUUUGUAUGAGGGUAAAAUUAGAUACCUGUAUCUAACUGCCAGUAUCAUACGAAUAAAGAUCGGCUAACUCCGUGCCAGCAGCCGCGGUAAUACGGAAGAACCCAACGUUAUUCCGAAUUAUUGGGUUUAAAAGGGGCGUAAGCGGUUUGGUAAAUUAAAAGUGAAAUUUCAGGGCUCAACCUUGACAUUGCCUCUGAUACUGCCGAGCUAGAGAGUAGUUGCUGUGGGCGGAAUGUAUGGUGUAGCGGUGAAAUGCUUAGAGAUCAUACAGAACACCGAUUGCGAAGGCAGCUCACAAAACUAUAUCUGACGUUGAGGCACGAAAGCGUGGUUAGCAAACAGGAUUAGAUACCCCUGUAGUCCUAGCAGUAAACGGUGCACGCUUGGUGUGCGGGGAAUCGACCCCCUGCGUGCCGGAGCUAACGCGUUAAGCGUGCCGCCUGGGGAGUACGGUCGCAAGAUUAAAACUCAAAGAAAUUGACGGGGACCCGCACAAGCGGUGGAGUAUGUGGCUUAAUUCGAUGCAACGCGAAGAACCUUACCUGGGCUUGACAUGUAUUGAAAAGCAUGUGAAAGCAUGUGACUCUUCGGAGGCGUUACACAGGUGCUGCAUGGCCGUCGUCAGCUCGUGUCGUGAGAUGUUUGGUUAAGUCCAGCAACGAGCGCAACCCCUGUUGCCAGUUACCAGCACAAAAGGUGGGGACUCUGGCGAGACUGCCCAGAUCAACUGGGAGGAAGGUGGGGACGACGUCAGGUCAGUAUGGCCCUUACGCCCAGGGCUGCACACGUACUACAAUGCCCAGUACAGAGGGGGCCGAAACCGUGAGGUGGAGGAAAUAAUAAAAACUGGGCCCAGUUCGGAUUGUAGGCUGCAACUCGCCUACAUGAAGCCGGAAUCGCUAGUAAUGGCGAAGCAGCUACGGCGCCGUGAAUACGUUCCCGGG
rnacentral:rRNA from 1 species